UGUGUGACUUGUGGGCAGGUGAUGAGGCUUUGCUGCUGCAGUAUUCCAGCAUUGGCUGGCACAUCUGAUUGCUAACAUA
ensembl:miRNA